rnacentral:lncRNA from 1 species
AGUGGAGCAAACACAGACAGUCUCAGGGCUUGCUCUGUCCACAGAGCCGACCAGUUGUGCUUGGAAUUGAAUCUGCAGCUUCAAGCUGAGUCAUGCUGUCUGCCCAUGCGCUCUCAUUUCAGAUAACUGAGAUCAAGCCUGCCUUCUGCAUUUCUUAAACUAAUUCUGGGACUAUCUGUGUCAGACUCUCUCCAUGGAGGCUAGGUAUGCAAGAUGCAGGCAUUACCUCAUCUGAAGAGUGGUAGCCACUGGACUCAGAAAUGGCAAGGAGAACAAGCCACAAAGGUGAUUGCUAGACACACUAAGAGUGGAGAGCAGUUGGCCUGGUGAACUGUACUUCCUCUUGUGGUACACACAUUUACAGCCUGGUGUAAUUAUCAUUCUUACAGAGGUCAGGAGGACAUAUUUUGAUACCUAUGGAAUAGGAUAAUAAUAAACUUUCCAAGAACAAAAAAAAAAAAAAA